AUUUAAGUUGCCGUUAAACAAUAUUGCGGAAUUAGAAAGGUUGGAUAAUUUAUUGAAAAUGGACCGUAAAGUCGUAAGAAAAUUGAGCUAGAACUUGCAUUUUGUGGCAAGGAAGGGAACUUCAACAAAACUGUGAGCAACACUUUGAAACACGUAAUUGGCCCUGAUUUAUGGUCGUUUUACACAUUUUGUGGGAUAGAAAGCAAAGCUGGCGAAACCGUUGUUCGCAAGUUCAAAGGCCUUGACGUCUAUCAAUGCAUCGAAAAUGCGAUCCGCAAUAGAUUUCCAAAUGAGACCGUGACUGCUAUACAUGGGAAAUGUAUUGAAGUUUUCACCAAAACAAGGAAUCAGAU